GACAGUUCGGUCUCUAUCUAUCGUGGGCGUAGGAAAUUUGAGGAGUGCUGUCCUUAGUACGAGAGGACCGGGAUGGACAAACCUAUGGUGUACCAGUUGUCACGCCAGUGGCACAGCUGGGUAGCUAUGUUUGGAUUGGAUAAACGCUGAAGGCAUCUAAGUGUGAAGCCAGCUUCAAGAUGAGAUUUCCCUCUUUAUUGGUAAGGGCCCUGGAAGACUACCAGUUGAUAGGCCGGGUGUGUAAGUGCAGUAAUGUAUUCAGCUGACCGGUACUAAUGCCCGAGGACUUGACCAC
rnacentral:rRNA from 1 species